rnacentral:lncRNA from 1 species
CCGGACCUGAUUCCGUCUUUAUUUAUUAUUCUGUCGGAAUAUCCUGUCUGUGCAUUUUACGCCGGACCUGAUUCCAUGAUUUAUUAUUCCGCAUUUAUUAUUCUGUUAGGACAUCUUGCCGGUGUGAAUUUCACCUGACCUGGUUCCGUUAUUAUUAUUCUGUUGGAAUAACCUGUCUAUGCGAAGUACCACAUGCAUGGUGAUUUCUUUUGUUAUUCCAUUCGUUAUUAUACUCAG